rnacentral:rRNA from 1 species
UACGGAGGGUGCGAGCGUUGUUCGGAAUUAUUGGGCGUAAAGCGCGCGCAGGUGGUGUGUUAAGUCUACCUGUGAAAUGCCGGGGCUCAACCCCGUGCAGGCAGGAGAUACUGGCACGCUGGAGACAGGCAGAGGCGAGCGGAAUUCCGGGUGUAGCGGUGGAAUGCGUAGAGAUCCGGAAGAACACCAGAGGCGAAGGCGGCUCGCUGGGCCUGAUCUGACACUGAGGCGCGAAAGCGUGGGGAGCGAACAGG